GUCGAGCGAAUGAUGAGGAGCUUGCUCCUCUGAUUUAGCGGCGGACGGGUGAGUAACACGUGGGUAAUCUGCCUGUAAGACGGGGAUAACUCCGGGAAACCGGGGCUAAUACCGGAUAAUAAGAAGAAACGCAUGUUUCUUUUUUGAAAGUCGGUUUCGGCUGACACUUACAGAUGAGCCCGCGGCGCAUUAGCUAGUUGGUGAGGUAACGGCUCACCAAGGCGACGAUGCGUAGCCGACCUGAGAGGGUGAUCGGCCACACUGGGACUGAGACACGGCCCAGACUCCUACGGGAGGCAGCAGUAGGGAAUCUUCGGCAAUGGGCGAAAGCUGACCGAGCAACGCCGCGUGAGGAUGAAGGCCUUCGGGUCGUAAAGCUCUGUUGUUAGAGAAGAACAAGUACGAGAGUAACUGCUCGUACCUUGACGGUACCUAACCAGAAAGCCACGGCUAACUACGUGCCAGCAGCCGCGGUAAUAC
rnacentral:rRNA from 1 species